rnacentral:rRNA from 1 species
GACGAACGCUGGCGGCGUGCUUAACACAUGCAAGUCGAACGGUGAACCUCUUCGGAGGGGAUCAGUGGCGAACGGGUGAGUAACACGUGGGCAACCUGCCCCCGGCUCUGGGAUAACUCCAAGAAAUUGGGGCUAAUACCGGAUGUUCACCGCUUCCCGCAUGGGUGGUGGUGGAAAGGGUUUCCGGCUGGGGAUGGGCCCGCGGCCUAUCAGCUUGUUGGUGGGGUAGUGGCCUACCAAGGCGACGACGGGUAGCCGGCCUGAGAGGGUGACCGGCCACACUGGGACUGAGACACGGCCCAGACUCCCACGGGAGGCAGCAGUGGGGAAUAUUGCGCAAUGGGCGGAAGCCUGACGCAGCGACGCCGCGUGGGGGAUGACGGCCUUCGGGUUGUAAACCUCUUUCAGCAGGGACGAAGCGCAAGUGACGGUACCUGCAGAGGAAGCACCGGCCAACUACGU